GAGUCGUUAGCUCAGCUGGUAGAGCAUCACACUUUUAAUGUGAGGGUCGAUGGUUCGAACCCAUCACGACUCACCA
rnacentral:tRNA from 2 species